rnacentral:sRNA from 1 species
UAGCAGUGGAGGCGAGCGGAGGAUUUGCCGCGGCGGGUUUCUGACAGUCAGACUUGUCCACAGGAACUCAACUGGCAAGGCUGCUUUUUUGUGCUAAAACUGGGGAGCUAGUGGGCACCAUGAAGAUCUUCUGCAGUCGGGCCAAUCCGACCACGGGGUCUGUGGAGUGGCUGGAGGAGGAUGAACACUAUGAUUUCCACCAGGAGAUUGCAAGGUCAUCCUAUGCAGAUAUGCUACAUGACAAAGACAGAAAUGUAAAAUACUACCAAGGUAUCCGGGCUGCUGUGAGCAGGGUGAAGGACAGAGGACAGAAGGCCUUGGUUCUCGACAUUGGCACUGGCACGGGACUCUUGUCAAUGAUGGCGGUCACAGCAGGCGCCGACUUCUGCUAUGCCAUCGAGGUUUUCAAGCCUAUGGCUGAUGCUGCUGUGAAGAUUGUGGAGAAAAAUGGCUUUAGUGAUAAGAUUAAGGUUAUCAACAAGCAUUCCACCGAGGUGACUGUAGGUCCAGAGGGUGACAUGCCAUGCCGUGCCAACAUCCUGGUCACAGAGUUGUUUGACACAGAGCUGAUCGGGGAGGGGGCGCUACCCUCCUAUGAGCACGCACACAGGCAUCUCGUGGAGGAAAAUUGUGAGGCCGUGCCCCACAGAGCCACCGUCUAUGCACAGCUGGUGGAGUCCAGGAGGAUGUGGUCGUGGAACAAGCUGUUUCCCAUCCGCGUGCAGACCAGCCUCGGAGAGCAGGUCAUCGUCCCUCCCGUGGACCUGGAGAGCUGCCCUGGCGCACCCUCUGUCUGUGACAUUCAGCUGAACCAGGUGUCACCAGCGGACUUUACAGUCCUCAGCGAUGUGCUGCCCAUGUUCAGCAUAGACUUCAGCAAGCAAGUCAGUAGCUCAGCAGCCUGCCAUAGCAGGCAGUUUGAACCUUGGACAUCUGGCCGAGCUCAGGUGGUUCUCUCAUGGUGGGACAUUGAAAUGGACCCUGAGGGGAAGAUCAAGUGCACCAUGGCCCCCUUCUGGGCACACUCAGACCCAGAGGAGAUGCAGUGGCGGGACCACUGGAUGCAGUGUGUGUACUUCCUGCCACAAGAGGAGCCUGUGGUGCAGGGCUCAGCGCUCUUUCUGGUAGCCCACCACGAUGACUACUGCGUAUGGUACAGCCUGCAGAGGACCAGCCCUGAAAAGAAUGAGAGAGUCCACCAGAUGCGCCCCGUGUGCGACUGCCAGGCUCACCUGCUCUGGAACCGGCCUCGGUUUGGAGAGAUCAAUGACCAGGACAGAACUGAUCGAUAUGUCCAGGCUCUGAGGACUGUCUCUCUCCUCCUGGGUGAGCCGUUCUUCACUACCAGCCUGCUGCCGUGGCACAACCUCUACUUCUGGUACGUGCGGACCGCUGUGGACCAGCACCUGGGGCCAGGCGCCGUGGUGAUGCCCCAGGCAGCCUCGCUGCACGCUGUGGUUGUGGAGUUCAGGGUAGGCCACCCGGGGGAUGUUGCAGAAAAAAGCAGAGGAGGCAGGUGGGAACCUUGUUUUCUUGCAGGAACCUUGGGUUUCUGUAGAGCGGCUCGGGCCUUGAUGAUUUGAGCUUGUGUUUUCUUUCUGUGUCAGCACACUGUGGGGUUGAAUAGAAGAUGCUUGCCUUUUUAAAAAUGCGAUAAUUUGACAUACGAAAUGGAAAUGGCUGAGUGUUGUCAUUUUACAAUUGUGGCUUAUCAGAAUAAUU